CACAUGCAAGUCGAGGGAGAAGCCUUCGGGCUGAAACCGGCGCACGGGUGCGUAACGCGUAUACAAUCUGCCUUUCACAUAGGGAUAGCCCGAAGAAAUUUGGAUUAAUACCUAAUGGUAUAUAGGAGCGGCAUCGUUUUUAUAUUAAAGCUAGGGUGGUGAAAGAUGAGUAUGCGUUCUAUUAGCUAGUUGGAGAGGUAACGGCUCCCCAAGGCGACGAUAGAUAGGGGUUCUGAGAGGGAUGUCCCCCACACUGGUACUGAGAUACGGACCAGACUCCUACGGGAGGCAGCAGUGAGGAAUAUUGGACAAUGGUCGGAAGACUGAUCCAGCCAUGCCGCGUGCAGGAUGAAGGUCCUAUGGAUUGUAAACUGCUUUUGUAAGGGAAGAAUAAGGGGUACGUGUACUUUGAUGACGGUACCUUACGAAUAAGCAUCGGCUAACUCCGUGCCAGCAGCCGCGGUAAUACGGAGGAUGCGAGCGUUUUCCGGAAUCAUUGGGUUUAAAGGGUCCGUAGGCGGGCUAAUAAGUCAGAGGUGAAAGCGUUCAGCUCAACUGAGCAACUGCCUUUGAAACUGUUAGUCUUGAAUGAUUGUGAAGUAGUUGGAAUGUGUAGUGUAGCGGUGAAAUGCUUAGAUAUUACACAGAACACCGAUAGCGAAGGCAUAUUACUAACAAUUUAUUGACGCUGAUGGACGAAAGCGUGGGGAGCGAACAGGAUUAGAUACCCUGGUAGUCCACGCCGUAAACGAUGGAUACUAGCUGUUUGGAGCAAUCUGAGUGGCUAAGCGAAAGUGAUAAGUAUCC
rnacentral:rRNA from 1 species